rnacentral:rRNA from 1 species
UUUUUGCCGUAGCUAAGUGUGCGUGCAUGUUCGCUCCGGAGGACAGGAGGUCGCUCUUGGUGAUCGUGAGUGCUGGGCGUGUCGUCUAGCAAGCGGCGGCGGGAGGUAGGGAAGCGUGGUCUAGGUAGGGAAACGGCGGCGGCUAGGUAGGCAAGAAGCACGGGCUACAGCGACUGGGGUGGAGGCGCAGCGAGCGGGCCCGGAAGGAGAGGCUGCGCCGGCUGUUUGGCGGCGUCGAGGAGGGGCAGGUGUGGCGCGGGCAGCGGGUCGUCGUGAAGGAGCUCAAGGGACCGAGGCUGCUCCCGGGCGGGUUCCGGUUCCCCUUCCCCCCUGCGCCAACCUCUCCUCUUACCUCCCUAGUCCCUCCGCCACGUCUCCAAGGUCCCCAUCCUCCAGCUCCGCGAGCUCGCCUUCCUCCAGCGGAAGUCCGAGUAGUAAGUAUACGAGCCCCCGCUCCCGCCCGACCUCCGGCUGUUCCAACGGUUCGAGUCCUUACGAAGGCGUACCGUCCAGGCAAGCGAGUGCCUAAAAGAGUUCCACUCCGCCACAGAAGAGAAGAGAGGCAAGUAGACAUUAUAUCCGGCUGUUCCAACGGUUCCAGUCCUUACGACGGCGUACCGUCCAGGCAAGCGAGUACCUAAAAGAGUUCUCUAUUACGCCCACAGGAGGAACGAAUUCGUGGUUGGACUACCCCUGAAACUCUCCAACGGCGGCUACCGCGCAGGUUUGGUCUACGUAGUAGUAGUCAGCGGGGGUUACGGAUUAAAGACACCUUUACCAAAACCGGGCACCUUGGUGCCCCGCGUCGGUCUCUCCCAUCCAAAAGGAGUUCCUGGGCACCCAACCGUUCCUCGUGGUGUUUCGGGGAGAGGUAUGUAACAGUUCUUCUAAAACGCCAACUUCUAUGGUUGUCUAUGAAUGGGAUUACAUGCAAGUAAGUACGAACGUUCACAAGAUAAUCAUACCUUAGUAAUAAAUGAGACGAACGGUAUGAACAAGUUAAGUUAAAAUAACCGGCAGAAGAACCCGGUUCCCCUUUGAGCAACUUCUCCUAACUUCGGUGAUGCCCAACAGCACAAAAAUAGUAUCCCUUCCCGAGUUAAUUUCUAGGACCCUUCCUUGGAUGGUGCGCGCGGCUCCGCUCCCGGAGCACCUGAGGCAGGUAGCGGCGAACCGGCUGCUGGGGCGGCGAACCGGUUCCUGGAGUACUACCUAGCUAAUAAAGAGUCGAACCGUGUACGUCAUGCCGUCGUGUGGCGCACGUCAAAGGAACCUAAGAUAAGGUAGAGAAGGGCCAGCGAAGGAGAUUAACGAAGAGUUUAGUAAGCAAGCAAGCACGACCAGUAGGAGGAUGUAGACAGACAGAGCGAGAGGCUAACUAAUUAGCACAAGUAACCCUAAAUUUUUCUCCUUGUACCUAAAAACAACCACUGAACAUUCGUCGUUGUUAUAGAACGUCAAAGAUUAAAAGAUCGGUAGGUGUACUCAUGUCUAGUCCACUCAUGGAGCCCCGUCUUGGGCGCGACGGCAUGGACUCGGGGAUGUACACACCGCUCUUGGACGAGCAGCCGCGGUUGAAGCGCAGGUGGCUGAAGCUGUAGGAGUUACUGUGUCCGCACGUUAAGCACUUGUAGUAGUCCUAACGCGUCGUAGACGUCUUGAAGCUCCUGAUGGUCGUCUCCGAGCGCUGCAUGCAGCCGCUCCUGCGCCGUUCCCUCGCGUACUCGGUCAGCGACCACGAGUAGUGUGAACCACCGUUGCUGAAGAAGUUGUUGAUGACGGACCAAGGGAAGAGGCGAUCCAGGGUCGUCAAGCUCUAGGUGCCGAUGUAGAGGAAGUUAUAGAGGCUCAUGUUCUUUCAGGAGCGCCCACUAUACCUACUUCCUCUUCUCCGGUCGUCACGACUCGAUUUGUUAAAUCCCUCCAUAACCUAACUGGAGACAUCUUUGAUACCAUUUCCGUGGAAUAGAACCCGAGGAUCUUCUUCCUUUGAGUUGUACGCACCAAGAGUAAUCUCCGUUGGUCUGGCAACAACUUUUAUAACUACUAAGGACAACACAUAAGAGUUCCUUACCAGUCCAAUUUAUGACUGGCAACGCCACGCAUCUUCUUUCCACGGUGAAAGUGAAUCAAGAGAAUCAAGAUUCAACCCUGACGUUUUUGAACUCUCAAAGGGGUGUAUCUGGACUUCAAAGACGAAGAUCGUAAAGAGAAGACAUUCGUUGUACCGUUUGGUCCAAAGUUUCAUUUCUGGACUCCUUCUUACAUCUAACUAGUGACACUAAAGUUCAGGAAGUCUCGACCUCGACAAUUCUGAACUCUGUCUAUAUACGUCCCGGUGUCCCCGGAUGUUCUAGGUUAAGUAUUCUUUCGACUCCGUGUAGUUAGUUUGCGGUUGGGUGGACGAUAACCGUGAUUUACUCCUUCCUUUUUCUUGUAACAGGGACUUCCGAACUCUAUGUGUUUGUCCGUUGACUCAAACCCUUUCCACCAACAGAGGAACUGCGUGUGGUACCACGGGAACAGAUGAGAGAGAGAAGAAGGAACCUGUCUGUGGAAUAAAUGACCAUCGUCCAAGAGAGCAUGGUAAAAAGCCACCUCAACAUAACCGUAGAAACUGACUUCAAAGAAAGUUGACCUACCAAUGUUCAGUUCCUUCUAAAAAAAUGAUAUUAACGAGUUCAUGACACGCUUCCUUCGACUUCUGUUAUAAAGACUAUAAAAUCCUCUACGUUCACUACACCUUAUUACUUUUAUGUAACGUAGUUCAUGUAAAAAGCUAACAAUGACAUUUUUUUAAAGAUAUGUACACUUUAACCUUCACGUAAUACGAAUACAUACGUUAGUCUUUUUUUAAUUAUCCGGGCACCGUUGCGUACCCGUAACAUGAUCAUUAUGUAAUCCAACGGAAUAGGGAUAUCGUGUAGUCUCUCAUCGAGAAACGUGCAACACGUACGCUGGGUAUCCAGAACUCAAGCCUAGGGACGCGGUGUAAAAGCAAGAAGGUAAAGGUGAAACAUGACUGUCUGUCCUGGGAGAACACGACCCCCGAAAAGCUACUUUUUAUUAUUGAGGUCUAAAAAAUAACGUUUUAUUGGCCGGCCCGGUAACUGUCACCCAGGGCGCGGUGCUAUCGGACGGAACAGCCGUAACAAACUGCG